CUAACUGUUCUGUGUUCUGCGUGCACGUCCGCAAACAUCGACCACACACCCGGUCACGGAAAUUUCUAACAGAGUUGGUUCUGCUAGAAUCCUGCUAGAAUCAUUCUAACAGGCUUGCUAGAUUUCUGUAAGAAUUUUGUGAGAACAUUCUGUCAGAAGCAAAUCUGUCGAAAAUGAUGUCAUUUCGCCAAAUCACGUUGGGGCGAAUGUGGUUACCGCCAUUUUGUUAAUGAACUUGUUCAAUCAAGUUUACUUUUCUCGAGAGUUGCCACGGAAGAAGCCUAAUUUUUGAAUUGUAUCAAGAUAAUAAUAAAAGCUCGAAAUGUCCCAAACAAGCGGAAUCCAGAUCGCAGUUCACGGUGGCCGGGGCACAGCUUCCCAUCGACGACGACACGUGGAGCAUCCUAGGAAACAACAAAAUUAUAAAUGUUCCACCACGGAAUUUUCAUCUGGAGACAACACCGGCAGGAAGAGUGAAUAAAAGCGUCCUUUUCAACUCCACCAAAAUACGAGCAACGAAGAUUGAAAGUGCCCAAGUGAACAGUAUAAAGUGUGUGCAUAUUGUAAGAUGUGAUUUGAUUGAAUAAAAAAAA